UGUCGUCAGCUCGUGUUGUGAAAUGUUGGGUUAAGUCCCGCAACGAGCGCAACCCUUAUCCUUUGUUGCCAGCGGUCCGGCCGGGAACUCAAAGGAGACUGCCAGUGAUAAACUGGAGGAAGGUGGGGAUGACGUCAAGUCAUCAUGGCCCUUACGACCAGGGCUACACACGUGCUACAAUGGCGCAUACAAAGAGAAGCGACCUCGCGAGAGCAAGCGGACCUCAUAAAGUGCGUCGUAGUCCGGAUUGGAGUCUGCAACUCGACUCCAUGAAGUCGGAAUCGCUAGUAAUCGUGGAUCAGAAUGCCACGGUGAAUACGUUCCCGGGCCUUGUACACACCGCCCGUCACACCAUGGGAGUGGGUUGCAAAAGAAGUAGGUAGCUUAA
rnacentral:rRNA from 1 species